rnacentral:pre_miRNA from 1 species
UCUCAGAUGAAUUGUAAAUUCCCAUAUUGGAUAAACAUUAUUGAGUGCAGCGUUGAUGAAGUCCUGAACUGCAUUGUGCUAUAAGGGAGAAGCCAAAUGCUUUUAUCGACGCUGCACUCAAUCAUGUUUUUUAGCAAUAUGGUUCAAUCGUGAGA